rnacentral:RNase_P_RNA from 1 species
GAAGCGGGCCAGACCGCCGCCGGUGCCGGAUCCGAAAGGUGGCACGGGAGGAAGGUCCGGACUGCACAGGGCAGCGCAGGAGCUAACGGCUCUCCACCGCGAGGUGAGGAUCAGAGCAACAGAGACGAGUCCGGCCGGGCAACCGGCCGGGGUGAAACGGGCAAUCUCUGCGCGCAGCAAUACCGAAUAGGCCGGCGUGCGCGAUCCCUCGGGAUCGCGUGGAGUGUGGUCCCGCACGUGCCGGCGGGUGGGUAGCACCGAGCCAGGCGAGCGAUCCCUGGCCCAGAGGAAUGGCGGUCACGGGGUCGCGGGCGCAAGCCUUCGACCCUGCACAGAAUCCGGCCUAUCGGCCCGCUUCACAC